UACGGAGGGUGCGAGCGUUAUUCGGAAUUACUGGGCGUAAAGCGCGUGUAGGCGGCUUGGCAAGUCUGAUGUGAAAGCCCUGGGCUCAACCUGGGAAGUGCAUUGGAAACUGCUUGGCUUGAGUAUCGGAGAGGAUGGGGGAAUUCCCGGUGUAGAGGUGAAAUUCGUAGAGAUCGGGAGGAAUACCAGUGGCGAAGGCGCCCAUCUGGACGGUAACUGACGCUGAGACGCGAAAGCGUGGGGAGCAAACAGG
rnacentral:rRNA from 1 species